rnacentral:rRNA from 1 species
UACAGAGGGUGCAAGCGUUAAUCGGAAUUACUGGCGUAAAGCGCGCGUAGGUGGUUCGUUAAGUUGGAUGUGAAAUCCCCGGGCUCAACCUGGGAACUGCAUUCAAAACUGACGAGCUAGAGUAUGGUAGAGGGUGGUGGAAUUUCCUGUGUAGCGGUGAAAUGCGUAGAGAUCGGGAGGAACACCAGAGGCGAAGGCGGCGACCUGGACAGAAACUGACACUCAACUACGAAAGCGUGGGUAGCAAACAGG